rnacentral:rRNA from 1 species
AAUAGAUACCCGGGUAGUCCAUGCCGUAAACGUUGGGAACUAGGUGUGGGUCUCAUUCCACGAGAUCCGUGCCGCAGCUAACGCAUUAAGUUCCCCGCCUGGGGAGUACGGCCGCAAGGCUAAAAACUCAAAGGAAUUGACGGGGGCCCGCACAAGCGGCGGAGCAUGCGGAUUAAUUCGAUGCAACGCGAAGAACCUUACCAAGGCUUGACAAUACACCGGAAACAUCCCAGAGAUGGGUGCCCCGCAAGGUCGGUGUACAGGUGGUGCAUGGUUGUCGUCAGCUCGUGUCGUGAGAUGUUGGGUUAAGUCCCGCAACGAGCGCAACCCUCGUUCUAUGUUGCCAGCACGUGAUGGUGGGGACUCGAUAGGAGACUGCCGGGGUCAACUCGGAGGAAGGUGGGGAUGACGUCAAAUCAUCAUGCCCCUUAUGUCUUGGGCUUCACGCAUGCUACAAUGGCCGGUACAAAGGGCUGCGAAACCGUGAGGUGGAGCGAAUCCCAAAAAACCGGUCUCAGUUCGGAUUGGGGUCUGCAACUCGACCCCG